GUCUACGGCCAUGCUACCCUGAACAAGCCCAAUCUCAUCGGAUCUUGGAAGCUAAGCAGGGUUGGGCAUGGUUAGUACUUGAAUGGGAGACCACCUAGGAAGACCAGGUACUGUAGGCA
rnacentral:rRNA from 1 species